rnacentral:misc_RNA from 1 species
AUGCGAUGACGGAUACGUUGAA